CACGGACCCGUACAGGGGAAGUCGGUGAUCCUAUGCUGCCAAGAAAAUCUUCUAGCGAGGUUCGAGCCGCCCGUACCCCAAACCGACUCAGGUGGUUAGGUAGAGAAUACCAAGGCGAUCGAGUGAAUCGUGGUUAAGGAAUUCGGCAAAAUACCCCCGUAACUUCGGGAGAAGGGGGGCCCAGAGGGUGACGGGACUUGCUCCCCGAGCCUGAACGGCCGCAGAGACCAGGGAGAAGCGACUGUUUACUAAAAACACAGGUCCGUGCCAAGUCGCAAGACGAUGUAUACGGACUGACGCCUGCCCGGUGCUGGAACGUUAAGGGGACCGAUUAGCCUCACGGCGAAGCUGAGAACUUAAGCGCCAGUAAACGGCGGUGGUAACUAUAACCAUCCUAAGGUAGCGAAAUUCCUUGUCGGGUAAGUUCCGACCUGCACGAAUGGCGUAACGAUUUCUCCACUGUCUCAACCACGAACUCGGCGAAAUUGCACUACGAGUAAAGAUGCUCGUUACGCGCAGAAGGACGGAAAGACCCCGGGACCUUUACUACAGCUUGGUAUUGGUGUUCGGUACGGCUUGUGUAGGAUAGGUGGGAGACUGUGAAGCUGACACGCCAGUGUCGGUGGAGUCAACGUUGAAAUACCACUCUGGUCGUUCUGGAUAUCUAACCUAGGUCCGUGAUCCGGAUCAGGGACAGUGCCUGGUGGGUAGUUUAACUGGGGCGGUUGCCUCCUAAAAGGUAACGGAGGCGCCCAAAGGUUCCCUCAGCCUGGUUGGCAAUCAGGUUUUGAGUGUAAGUGCACAAGGGAGCUUGACUGUGAGACUGACAAGUCGAACAGGGACGAAAGUCGGGACUAGUGAUCCGGCGGUGGCUUGUGGAAGCGCCGUCGCUCAACGGAUAAAAGGUACCCCGGGGAUAACAGGCUGAUCUUGCCCAAGAGUCCAUAUCGACGGCAUGGUUUGGCACCUCGAUGUCGGCUCGUCGCAUCCUGGGGCUGGAGUAGGUCCCAAGGGUUGGGCUGUUCGCCCAUUAAAGCGGUACGCGAGCUGGGUUUAGAACGUCGUGAGACAGUUCGGUCCCUAUCCUCUGCGCGCGCAGGAAACUUGAGAAGGGCUGUCCCUAGUACGAGAGGACCGGGAUGGACGAACCUCUGUGUGUCAGUUGUUCUGCCAAGAGCACCGCUGAUUAGCUACGUUCGGGAGUGAUAACCGCUGAAAGCAUCUAAGCGGGAAGCAUGCUUCAAGAUGAGGUUUCCAUGGGGUUUACCCCGAGAGGCUCCCAGCUAGACUACUGGGUUGAUAGGCCGGAUGUGGAAGUGCGGUAACGCAUGGAGCUGACCGGUACUAAUAAGCCGAUAACUUGACC
rnacentral:rRNA from 1 species